GACGAACGCUGGCGGCGUGCUUAACACAUGCAAGUCGAACGCUGAAGACCUGGCUUUUGUUGGGUUGGAUGAGUGGCGAACGGGUGAGUAACACGUGAGUAACCUGCCCUCUUCUUUGGGAUAACGCCCGGAAACGGGUGCUAAUACUGGAUAUUCACUGAUCUUCGCAUGGGGGUUGGUGGAAAGGUUUGUUCUGGUGGGGGAUGGGCUCGCGGCCUAUCAGCUUGUUGGUGGGGUGAUGGCCUACCAAGGCUUUGACGGGUAGCCGGCCUGAGAGGGUGACCGGUCACAUUGGGACUGAGAUACGGCCCAGACUCCUACGGGAGGCAGCAGUGGGGAAUAUUGCACAAGGGGCGAAAGCCUGAUGCAGCGACGCCGCGUGAGGGAUGGAGGCCUUCGGGUUGUAAACCUCUUUCGCUCAUGGUCAAGCCGCAACUGUGGGUUGUGGUGAGGGUAGUGGGUAAAGAAGCGCCGGCUAACUACGUG
rnacentral:rRNA from 1 species